GAGGGCGCACCGCACCACACGAGCGAAAUAGUUCGAGCGAGCGAGCCGGCCUGCAUCUCCCCCCUCCGCCCGAGCCAUCGUCUCCCCCGCCACACGCACACCCAAUCCCCUCCCCUCCAACCCUAGCCGCCCCGCUCCCCUCCCUCUCCACGGCGCCGCCGCCUCCUCCCCUUCUGCCCUGCUCUCCACCGUGCCGCCUCUUCCUCCUCUUCACUGCCCUCUCUAGCGGCGGCAAAGAUCUGCCGACAAAAGGGAGACGACGGCGACGCUCGAUCCGAUCUGCUGAAGAGAAAAGAUGAGAGGGAGAGAGACAAGGAAGGAGAGGAGGGAGAAAGAUAGAGGAAAGAGGAGAGCGAGGUGUGAUGGCAGAUGAGAGAGGGUCACCGGAAGGAGCGUGACGACCUGCAGACAAAGGGCGGCGGCGGCGCCGCUCGAUUUGAUCUGCGGGAGAGAGAAUAUGAGAGGGAAAGAGAGAAGGAAGAACAUGAGAGGAGGGAGAAAGAGAGAGGAAAGAGGAGAGGGCGUUGACGGCCGACAGGAGAGGAUCACCGGAAGGAGUGCCGCCGGCUCGUCGUCUUUCACACCGGGUGAAGGAGCAGGGGAGGCGGGCAACAAGGAUGGGAAGCAUCGGGCCGUCAUGGUGCGGUGGAGAUGCUGGGAAGAAGGAGGAGGGCGUCUGCAUCAUCCCCAGGGGUGCUCGUGGAGCUGCUCCUCAAUGAGAUCCACCNNNNNNNNNNUCUGCCCUGCUCUCCACCGUGCCGCCUCUUCCUCCUCUUCACUGCCCUCUCUAGCGGCGGCAAAGAUCUGCCGACAAAAGGGAGACGACGGCGACGCUCGAUCCGAUCUGCUGAAGAGAAAAGAUGAGAGGGAGAGAGACAAGGAAGGAGAGGAGGGAGAAAGAUAGAGGAAAGAGGAGAGCGAGGUGUGACGGCAGAUGAGAGAGGGUCACCGGAAGGAGCGUGACGACCUGCAGACAAAGGGCGGCGGCGGCGCCGCUCGAUUUGAUCUGCGGGAGAGAGAAUAUGAGAGGGAGAGAGAGAAGGAAGAACAUGAGAGGAGGGAGAAAGAGAGAGGAAAGAGGAGAGGGGGUUGACGGCCGACAGGAGAGGAUCACCGGAAGGAGUGCCGCCGGCUCGUUGUCUUUCACACCGCACUAUAGUAGAGCUAUCUCUGUACAACCCACACGCACGCAGGUUCGUUCUCCUUCCUUUCUGUUAUUCCCCUCUUUUGAUUAGUGAAACUGCAACUACAUGUCCUUCUAUCUAUCCCCCUGUCCUCAGUCACGUUUCCUCCCUUUGUCUCAUGGAUGAAGUUGUCGGCUGCAGGGGUGUUGCGAGGACUUAGAGGUCGUGCGCCGGCCGAAGCAGCAAGAGCAAUGAUCUGGCGGCCUCUCUUCUCUGCCACAGUUCCCUUCUCUUCAUUCAGCUCUCGAGACGUCGACCUGCAGGUGUAGGUGCUUGUGUCUCAACCAUCUUUCUCCUGUAUCCUCAGUUCCUCACAUUUUUUAUUUCUGAUUCGUGUGUUACCAUAUUAUUGCUAGGCUAGAGUUUGUCCGUGUGUUGUUUAUGCUCAGGUUUAAUCUCCACAAAAGAUGGCCCACACUACUUUACAAGGAACUGCUGUUGUCCAGUUUAGAGGUAUGUUUUCUAGCUGAAGCAUUGUUUGAAUAUCUAUGGCCCAGGCUCCAAGUGAGAUUAAUUCUUUCAUUUUGUUUGUGCUAAUGUGAGUGAUUUAGUUGUCAUAGAAACAAAAUUCCAAUUGAUGUUGUGUAUAGCAUACUAUUUUUAGGCAAACCAUUGUUUAACAACGGAUAUGCGGAGGCGUUUUUAUGGAUGUGCAUUUCCCCUGAAUCUAGACAGCUAUUCAACCUGUUGCGGACAUUUUUGGUGGAAUUCAAUGCUUCAGCA
rnacentral:lncRNA from 1 species